UUCCGAUUAAUGACUUUUUUAAAAUGAUUUUAAAACUCGAAAAAUUGAAAGAGACUUAAUGACUUUUAAUGUAAACUAACCAGGAAGCAAGUUUUUCCGAUCUGGGGAUCUCCUAAGAGGCUGAUCUUAAGAGAAACCAGAUCCGAAUCUGAUCUCCGGUGGCUGUUAUCGUGUUCGUGCACCGAUGUACGGCGUAUGACGGGGAUGGGAGGAGGCUGAGGACGAGAGACAGGCGGAGACGGAGUGGUGGCGCGUGACAGCAAUGAAUAUCUCCCUGAUCUUUUGGAAGAGAAAGCGACUAUUCUGCUCCAGAGAAGUCGCGUGAAUCGACGGAGAAUCAAUAUCCGACGGUUCACUCUGUUCCUGAGAUUGUUGAUUCGAACGAUUCUAAGACAGGACUGAGCCAUUUUGCUAUCUCUCUCUCUCUCUAGAGUGAUUAUAAGAAUGGAGAAUGUUUUCAAGAAUCAAAGAAGAAGAUGCAGAAUUGAGAGGAUAUAGAAAGUAGGAUGCAGGUUCAAGAAGAUGUGAUGAUGGCCAGAGAGAAGCUGAUGGGUUCCAUUUUGGCCAUGAAAAAAGGGAAAGGGGAGCGAGAGAAAAGGAAUAUACGUGAAAGCUUCUUUAGGUUUAUGUGUUUCCU
rnacentral:lncRNA from 1 species